rnacentral:lncRNA from 1 species
AUGGCAACCCUCAAGGACCAGCUGAUUGUGAAUCUUCUUAAGGAAGAGCAGGCUCCCCAGGACAAGAUUACAGUUGUUGGGGUUGGUGCUGUUGGCAUGGCUUGUGCCAUCAGUAUCUUAAUGAAGGGCUUGGCGGAUGAGCUUGCCCUUGUUGACGUCAUGGAAGACAAACUCAAGGGCGAGAUGAUGGAUCUCCAGCAUGGCAGCCUCUUCCUUAAAACACCAAAAAUUGUCUUCAGCAAAGACUACUGUGUAACUGCGAACGCCAAGCUGGUCAUCAUCACAGGGGUGUCUGUCAGCAAGAGGGGGAGAGCCAACUCAACCUGGUCCAACGAAACAUGAACAUCUUCAAGUUCAUCACUGCCAACAUUGUGAAGCACAGUCCACACUUCGAGCUGCUGAUUGUCUCAAAUCCAGUGGAUAUCUUGACCUACGUGGCUUGGAAAAUCAGUGGCUUUCCCAAAAGCCGAGUUAUUGGAAGUGGUUGCAGUCUGGAUUCAGCUCGGUUCUGUUACCUGAUGGAAGAAAGGCUGGGGGUUCACCCUGAGCUGUCAUGGCUGGGUCCUGGGAGAACAUGGCAACUCCAGUGUGCCUGUGUGGAAUGGUGUGAACGUUGCCGGUGUCUCCCUGAAGUCUCUGAACCCAGAACUGGGCACUGAUGCAGACAAGGAACAGUGGAAGGAGGUUCAAAAGCAGGUGGUGGACAGUGCCUCCAAGGUGAUCAAGCUGAGAGGUUACACAUCCUGGGCCAUUGGCCUCUCUGUGGCAGACUUGGCCGAGAGCAUAAUGAAGAACCUUAGGCGGGUGCAUCCCAUUUCCACCAUGAUUAAGGGACUUGGUCGAGAGCAUAAUGAACCUUAGGUGGGUGCAUCCCAUUUCCACCAUGAUUAAGGGUCUCUAUGGAAUCAGUGAUGACGUCUUCCUCAGUGUCCCAUGUAUCCUGGGACAAAAUAGAAUCUCAGAUGUUGUGAAGGUGACUCUGACUCCCGAGGACGAGGCCCGCCUGAAGAAGAGUGCAGACACCCUCUGGGGAAUCGAGAAGGAGCUGCAGUUCUAA